rnacentral:lncRNA from 1 species
AAAACUGUUUCAGACAACAUUGGAGGUUUCUGUGAUUUUUUUUUUCUUUUAAAGGAGGGAAGUCCCAAUAUGAAAUCUGAAAAGCAAUCAAUUUAAAAUAUAUAUUUGGGGCCCCAUUUCCUCGCCACCCCGCCCUCCGACCUGCAGGGCCUCGAAUUCCCAGAGAACAAGCUCAGACUUGCCUGCCUGUGGGGUGUGGGAGUGGGGCUGGGGGUGAGGUGGGGGCAGGAAGGGUGGUCAGUCAUAGUGACCUUUAGUUGCAGGACCGUUGCACAGAGCUCGCCUCAACCCACCUAAGCCCUCAUGGCCUGAAUUGAGCCAAUUUUACAAGCAAGCACUGUCCCUGUUUGGAGGGAACCUUGGAUAAGGGAUGGUGGGAGGAAAACGAUGAUCCAAGCCAGGGAUGAGAUGAAGGGAAGGGGCAAGAGGGUGACCUCCAUGGCCUCCCUGGUGGCCAAAGCAAGGGGAGGUUCCCGCAGUUUCACCCUGUCCUGAACAGUUCAAGCCCUGCCUCCAUUCUCAACUGCGUCUAUUGCAGGGCUUCUUGGCCUUGGUUACCUUAGCUCCUGAGCAUCCAUUCAAGGGGAAGGAAGUCCCCUCCCCAGCUGCAAAGACACUUCUGCCUGCAACAGGAGGCCCUGUGCCUUCUCCAGGGUGUGGGUUUAUGAUAAAUCUUUGCAAUGACCACACCACUGAGGAGAAGAAAAUAGUCCUGACUCUAGAAGGCUCCCUGGGCUCUCGCAGCCAUUCAAGACCCAGACCGUUCUUCUCCACACACCCCCAGCCCCCAACCCAGGCAUCUUUCUGGGCCUGCAGCUCCUCCUACUGGUUCUUCUCCGGUUGAGCAUUCGCAGUGAAGGCUAGAUGUGGGGCUAGGGCCUGGGUUUAUGGCAGUGGCCUUUGAGGAAUGGGUAGUGGGGAAGCGGACCCCGAAACCAACCUCUCAAACACCAAGGUCAGUGCAGGGGUGGAAGGGUAAGAGGUGCCUGGAUGCCUGCAUGGGAGAGCACAUUGCUCAAGCCAUGGGGCAGCUCCUGGGCACGGCCAUGGAAUUCCAUCAACCCCAGCCACAUCUUUUCUUAAUUUUUACCUCUCGCUUGGUAUCCAACACUGCCCAGCACAUGGUAGGCCUCAGCAUCUGCCCAGCUCUUGGCCCCUGGGAGGCUCCCCGGCUGUGGAGGACUGAUGGGUGGGAUCUGAAAGGGCAGAUCUGAGAAGGAAGACUCUUUUGGGCAAAGGCAGUAAGCUCCCAACACAGAAGCUGACCCUGUCCUCUUUCCAGGAGGCUGAUGGCCCUGCCCUCGCUGUGUUGCUCACCCCGUUUUCCUGGGGACACAGCUGAGAAAACUCAGCAAAUGCUCCCAGGCCUCGUCUAUCUCCCCUACUCUUCCAGCAGGGCCCACCCAGCUGGGCCUCCCUGCCAGCAGCUGGAAAUCCCCAGAACCACUCUCACUUUCUUCCUACAACACCACCCUCCCCUGACCAGACACCUGCUCCCAACCAUCCUCACAGUGAGGAGCUCAGCUCCACAUGCAGCCCUAAGUCAGAGGGAAGUUCUUCCCAAAGCUCCUGGCUCCAUGCCCCCUGCCCAGGGCAUCUGGCCCUUCUCCUAAUGAUGGGCCCUCUCCUCUACCCUCUACCUCCCCAUCUAGCCUUCAGACCACCACACACUGAUUUGAUGGGAACUUGGAGGCCCUGGGCCCAAAGCACUCCUCCUGGUAUGGUAGUCUAUCCAAGUGGUUAGGCUCACAGAUCCUAUACCCAGCCUACACAUCCCUCCUCCAGCACACACUGGCUGUGUGGCCUUGGACAAGUUACCUAACCUCUCUGAGCUGCAUUCCCUCAUCUCUACUUCUUCCUAGACUCAUGAGGAUUAAGGGAAUCAAUGUUUGGAAAGUGUUUUAUAAAGGUCUCGGCACAUCAUUGGUGCUCAAGAGAGGAAUUGUACUAUCCUCAUCAUCACUGCAAAUUAACAUAGUUUGUUAACUGGCUAGCAGAACCACUACUGACUAAUCUGUGGCACAUGGCCCCCAGUGACCCUAACAGAUCCUAUUGCAGGGCAUAUUGGCUGGGCCAGGUCAACCUCUAACCCUGUGCCCAAAGCUGCAUCAGCACUGUGGGGGGCCACAGAAGAACUUUAUCCUUAAGGAAGAGGCAAUAUCACAGGCAAGAUAAGACUAAUUCACAAAGCAAUUAGUAAAAAAUACAAGAUAGCUUAAAAGUACUAAAUUGUUCAGUGCAGACUAUAAUUGUGUUAAUAGUAAGAACCAUUUGUAUGGCAUUUGAGAGUUUACCCAGCACUUGGAAAUACAUUAUCUCAUCUCAUGUAAUCCUCAAAGCAAACCAGCAAGGUAAGUACAGAUGUUCCUCAACUUACAAUAGUUACAUCCCAAUAAACCCUUCGUAAGUUGAAAAUAUCCUAAGUUGAAAAUGGGUAAUACCCUCAACCUACAGAAACAUCAUCAUUUGGCCUAGCCUAAAUGUGCUCAGAACACUGACAUUAGCCUACAGUUGGGCAAAGUCAUCUGUCAAUACAGCACACUGUGGAAUAUGGGCUAUUUAUCCUCGUGAUCACAGGGCUGACCGGGAGCUGGGCUCACUGCUGCUGCCCUGCGUUACAAGAGACUAUCAUACUGCAUAUCGUUAGCCUGGGGAAAAAUCAAAAUCUGAAGUCUACUGAAUGCAUACGAACUCAGGUCUACCGGAUGCAUAUUGCUUUCGCACCAUCACCAUCCUAAAGUUGCAAAGUCUUAAGUCAGGGAUCAUCUGUAUUGUUCGAUGCAGAUGAGGAAACCACGGCUCACAGAGAUUAAAUGGCUUAGUUGUGAUCACUACCAGUAAGUGGGUGACUCAGAAAAGACUCCACCCUGAUUCUCACUUCAUCUGGUACUAAGAUCCUGGCUUUUUCCAUUAAGUGGUGGGCGUGUGUGUGUGUGUGUGUGUGUGGGUGUGUGUGUGUAUUAGUCUGCUCAGGACUGGGUGAGAUUUAAAUAAUAGAAAUUUAUUUCCUCCCAGUUCUAGAGGAUGGAGGUCUCAGAUCGAGGUGCCCUCAGCGUUGCUUUAAUUCUGGGGCCCCUCUCCUUGGCCUGCAGAUAGCAGCCUUCUUCCUCUGACUUCACGCAGUCUUCCCUCUGUGCCACAUGUCUAUGUCUUAAUUUCCUCUUAUAAAAUAAGGGACACCAGUCCUACUGGUUUAGGGCCCAGCAUAAAGACUUCAUUUUAAUUACCUUUUUAAAGACCCUAUCUCCAAAUACAGUUACAUUCAGAGAUACUGUGGAUUCAACAUAUAAUGGAAUUGACACUAUUCAGCUCGCGUGGUGUGUGUGUGUGUUACAGGGGUGGGCACUUCUCCAGACUUCAUCUCGUUCUCAUCCUUUUUCUCAUUUCCCCAAGACUCCCUGUGGCCAGUGUAGCCUCAGUUCAGGUUUCCUGUCGAUGUGCAUUGUGCCUGGUGUGGCCUUAUUCUGGCCUCCCUCACAGGCAUGGUGGCCUCUCAGAGCUGGAUAGGUCUCAGAACCAUUCAGGGGAUGGGGUUUCCCUGUGACCUUGGCCCUGCCCUGAGGUCCUCAGAAUAUGGCAGCAAAAGAGAAGGAGCCACCUGCACGGGCCUGCCCACAGCAGCGCCCAGUGCCAGUUAAAGAGGCCCGGAAAACAGGGCUGCAGCAGCCCCUGGAGGACUCUUGGAGAAGCACAGCCAUGCUCCCAGAUCCAUCCAAGAAAGGAAGAUGGCGGGAGGACCCAGGAGCAGAGCCAGGGCCUGGGGAAGGAUGGAGGGAGGCAGGCAGCAGAGAAAGCCCCAUAAGAACGUGCCCGCUGACACAGGAGGCAGUGUGAGGAGAACUACACACCAAACUGGAGGCCACAAGGUCUGGGUUCAAGUUCCAGCCUCUCUGUUCCGUGUUGCCACCCUGGUAAGUUAUCUCGUCUCUCGGAGUCUCAGUGUUCUCACCCGCAACAUUGUGGGGGAAACAGUAGCACUAGCUUCACACAUUGCUGUCAGGAUUAAAUGAGCUAAUUUUUGUAAAAUGUCACCUGGCACACAGUAGGUGCUAUCAGGGCUGCAUAGUAACUUUUGUGGGUAUUAGGCAUUUUUGCUUUUAUGGGUGUCUUCCUCUGUAAAAAAAAUACUUAAAAUUCUAUUGUACAACUGUGUUAGAAGAAAGAUGAAUAAAAUCCCAGCUCUAUUAUACUGUUUUCUUUUGGUUUUAAGAGAAACGAAGACAUUUUCAUGGGCCUCUAAUGAAUGGUGGCCCCUAAGCAUUGGGCCUAUCAUAUCUAAUGGGUAAGUGGCCCCAGGGGCUGCAUCAGUGUCUGCUGCUGUGGAUGUUAAAGUGUCUCAGGAACUGCCAAGUGUCAUGGCUGGUAAGGAGUCACUGUCACUCCUUUAAGAACACUCCUUCUGGUAAGGAGUCACUGUCACUCCUUUAACAACACUCCUUCUGUCCUCCUGGAGUCCAGCAUCCCUGUCCUCCCCCUCUGGGUACUGACUGCAGUGCCUCAAUGUCCAGUGUUUCAGCAGAGGGCGCCAGAGGCCUUUCCCUUUAGUCCCACGGAGAUGCAGGGCUGGGAUGUUCUGAUGGGGAAUGCCAGGCAGAGAUCGCACCUGGCUGAGCAGCGCCUUCAGACCUCAGGCAGGCAGGAGAAGGAGGCUCUGGAGGACAAAUGCCCAUUAGGUCAUUUCACAGCAGCCUCCAGGGUGGCGGCAACAACGUCCUCUAGUGGCAAAAAAUCCCUCCAUCCAAUGCCUGCCUCCCCUCCCCUCCUAGGGGCUCCCAGCGUCCAAGGCAUGGGGCUUCUGUUGCCGUUCAUGUGUUUGUCUAAAACUCUCCUCAACCCACACAGGACUAGAAUCUGAUGAAAUGGAUUGGAACCUGAGUCAAAUGGGCUCAAUCCCAAGUGAUGUAUGAGCAACAGGGCGCCUUGACUCGGUUUGCACAUUGAUGCCAAUGCUUUCCCACAGGGUCUCCAUCUGGUGAGCCCCACCUCAACCUCUAUGGAUGCCAGCACCACCAGGGCCACUGGCCCAUGCCUGCUCUGCUGGCCCCUCAAGCCUGGGCCAAUGCAGGGCAGCAGGGGGAUGCCGCACACACCUCAGCCCACCACUCAGCGGCCCCCAGGGCUGCCCACAGUCCUGCAGCUUUUCUAGGAAGGGACCUGCCCAGAGACGUGCCGCUCCAUCACACUGAACAAGCAUUUUAUUCCAGGGAUUCCCAACAUGUGAGCAGGGUGGAAGCCUCUGACAAGGUGGGCC